rnacentral:lncRNA from 1 species
CCCGAAGGCCCUAAACCUUGUGAAUUCCUAUAAAUUUCCAUGAAUAAGGUAAUGUGGUUGCCAUAGAAUCCUUUAAAAGAUUAAAACCCUGGAAAGUAAAGCCCUGGGGUGAACAUUUUCUGACUGUUGUGGGAUUGUCAUCCACUGGCUAAAUAAGCCUUUUUGUUCUGAUUUCCUGGCCUCUGUGAGUGUUUUCUCACUGAUCUGCCAUAAUAGUUUGACAGACCUUUGCUUGCAGUGUUUGAAAAAUAUUCUGUUUCCUCAGAAUUUUGUGGUUUCCAUUAAAAAUCUAAUGUCUUUAGAAUAAUUUUCCCUUAUCUAUGCUCUUGCAUCUAUCUCGCUACUUUUAAGUAUUUCUAUUUUUAGGAGACAAGGAAAAAAAAUAAAACAGACAUUCAUCAAGAGUUAUUUUAAGAAUUAUUUAUACUGCUUUCUUUUUCAUUGAUGGCUAAAACUAGGGCAGAUAUCUCACAAUGGUCACAGCUGCAUUGGACACUCCAUGGCAACUUUGAGAGAUGUUUGCUUUAGCAAUGGCAAGCUUUGUCUGGGGUAUAUCCUGGAUGAUUUGGCCCUGUUGGCUUUCUUAAUGACUCUUCCCCUCUGCUCUUAUUCCUCACAAAGGCCACAAGGAACUCCUUUCCUAGAGUUGAAAGAAAGUCUGUGGUUAGCUGUCAAGAUGUUACACGUGUGUAAGCCCAGAAUUUUCCAUAUGUUGUCAAGGAUUAAGAUCUGAAAUUCUUUGGAGGACUCAUGAAUAUUCAUUAAUAUCACAGUGGGUUAGAAAACCAGGAAAGCUGGAAUCACCAACAGAAUAUAGCAGCAUGGCUUAAAAAAGUGACUGGACCCAUGAGGAAGAACCACAGCCAGAAAUACCAGGCAUUUUAGAAAAGGAGAAGAAAGAUACUAUGGGUUCCUUCUGAAUGUACUCUCCAGUCUUUCAUCAGUAUAUCCCAAAUGUGGGCCCAGCUGUAAGAUAGGUGAUGUCCAAGUCUGGGAACUUGAUCCCGGACAUGUUAGUCCCAUUGAUAUAGAGUAAACCAAAGGAUAUAAAAGUGGAUGAAAGCCCAUGAAGCAUUCAUUGUUAGUACAGUUUUCUGCCUGCUUGAUUUUCAGUUUAAAAAUAUCUCAUUUUGAUACAAAAACAAAAUUAUUGCAGUAAUGGAGAAAUUAUAAUAUCUUUGUGGGAUUCCAUUGACUACAAGAAAAUAUUUUUAAAGCCACAAAAUAAAGUUUCAAAGCCUGGCAUGAUGCAGUAAGUAUGACUGGAACCCCAGCACUCGGGAGGCUGAGGCAGAAGGAUCACCGUGAGUACAAAGCAAACCUGGGUUACAUAGUGAGUUCAAGACCAGCCUGAACUCCAGAGAAAGACCCUAUCUCAAAACAAAACAAAACCAAACAAAAAAACAG